rnacentral:rRNA from 1 species
UACGUAGGGUGCAAGCGUUGUUCGGAUUCAUUGGGCGUAAAGGGAGCGUAGGUGGCGGGGUUAGUCAGGUGUGAAAUCUCGGGGCUCAACCCCGAAACUGCACUUGAUACUGCCUUGCUAGAGUACUGGAGAGGAGAUUGGAAUUUACGGUGUAGCAGUGAAAUGCGUAGAUAUCGUAAGGAAGACCAGUGGCGAAGGCGAAUCUCUGGACAGUUACUGACACUGAGGCUCGAAGGCCAGGGGAGCAAACGGG